rnacentral:rRNA from 1 species
CCUACGGGUGGCAGCAGUGAGGACUAUUGGUCAAUGGCCGGAAGGCUGAACCAGCCCUGCCGCGUGAAGGUCAGUGCCCUAUGGGCGUUAAACUUCUUUUGUGCGGGAGCAAUAAUGGUCACGUGUGGCCCGACGAGAGUACCGUACGAAUAAGCAUCGGCUAACUCCGUGCCAGCAGCCGCGGUAAUACGGGGGAUGCAAGCGUUAUCCGGAUUUAUUGGGUGUAAAGGGUGCUUAGGCUGUGAGGUAAGUCAGCGGUGAAAUGCCCCCGCUCAACGGGGUGAAGUGCCAUUGAUACUGCCUGGCUGGAAUGCGGAGGCCGUGGGAGGAAUGUGUGGUGUAGCGGGGAAAUGCAUAGAGAUCACACAGAACACCGAUUGCGAAGGCAUCUCACGAAUCCGCGAUUGACGCUGAUGCACGAAAGCGUGGGUAUCAAACAGGAUUAGAUACCCGGGUAGUC